ACUAUCUUACUUAAAAACCACGUCACCAAAUAAUUAAACACUUACAUAAUGAAUAAUAAAUUUGGGUCGUUACAUAAGGCAUGCCAAGAAAUAAGUCCAAUACAAUGUAGCUCCAAUUACACAAACAGGUUAGAUAAUUCCACACCUCAAAAGCUACCCCUUUACCAUGUUAUAAUAACUACCUACCCACACUUAUAGUGAUUUCAUCCAAAUCCAAAUAAUUAAGUACACAACAUGACAACUUUGCUCUGGUGUCGCCCAGAGAAGCAGUAACAAUUUCCUGUGCAAGACCAUAUACUCUUGCAUAUAUUUCAUAACAUCAAUGCAAUAAUUGAAAAUAAUAUAUUUUGACUUCAUAUAUAGAGUUUUACAAUUAUUCUUAUAAUGCAUAACAAACAUAAUACUUUUUCAAUAUCCAACAAUAAUAAGUCAAGACCAUAUUAUUAAAGCCGACCCUGAUGUAACAAUAUCAAAGUCUUACAGAACAAUUGAAACAUACAAAAUAAUAUAACAAC
rnacentral:lncRNA from 1 species